GGGGCAGCGUCCUGACCUCCGAUAGGAAAGUGUCCCGCCUGCUCUGGUUUCAGUAAGUAGGCCUCUGUGAAGAUUCCCUUGUGGGAUUUGGAUGACAAAGUGAUUCCUAUUAUGUGGUGUGUGUCAUGGGGUUUACACGCUCUUGGCACACCCAUGUUUUUGUAGACAAGAAAGCAGGAAUGUGAUCGCGGGCUGCCCAAGCCGGGUGUGGAGGGGUGGUCUAAACAAAUUCUGGAAUAAACAGAUUCUGCUCAUUUUUGACAUUCUCUGAGGUGUUCUUUUCAGAUGGGGACUUUGCUUUUCAUUAGCUGAAGCAGCACUGACUUCGUGUUUCAGACCUUGGGGGAAGGCGCCGGGUGUUUUGCAGUAAAGGUGCUGUUACUUGUGUUUUGCAAAUGAUUGGCUAUCAGAGGAGAAGCUGAUAAAAUCUGGGAUCGGACCUGGAGACCCAUCAGCCUGGAAGAAGGGCUUCAAGCAGGGAAUGGACGACUCAGCGUUUGGAAGGAUGCCUUUUUCAGACGUUAAGGGCCGUUGUUACCUGUCAUUUGAAUAGCAGUGGCACCUGCUUACAGACAGAAGCUCCGAGUUGAAUCGUGGGUAUGAAGAUUACAGUGACGCGGCUGGAUGAGGAGGGGAGGAUGCAUAUUGUCUUUUCCUUCCGCAACGCAAGAUUCCGCAAAGACAGUCUCCACGUUUAGGCCUCGGCCCUCGUGGGCGGUAAUGCCGCCCUUAUCUAACACCGUGCUUGCGGCGGCCUCUGCUGUUCAGCCCUUGUUGCCAUGUGUUCUCGAGUGGGCCUCUCGGUGCCCUCCUGAAAGCGCCUCCUUUGACCCAGACCUCAAGGCACCUUCUGGUCCUGCAUCCUGUUUCCGUCCCCCACGGCAGCCUUUCCAUAUGUGACCCUCUUCACAGAAUGCCCAGCAGCCGCCUGUCCCCCAGAAAGCACCGUGUGUCCAUGGCUCAAGUAUUUACCAGGCAUCGAGAAAACAGUAAACUUUCCUCCAAAACCCUGAAACUUUGCUUUCAGACCUGCGCCGGAAGUGCCCUGGCACGCCGAGUCACAUUCCAGUGGUAGCGGAUCAGCCCGGGGUGGCUCAGAUGCAUUACAAGUAGAUGAGCAAAUAUGAAAACAAAAGGCUUCCUAAGUGAAACCAUACUGGUUUUUCUUCCAAUGUGAAAUAAAUAAAAUAAUGUUUUUCUUUCAUAGAUAUGGAAUGAA